rnacentral:rRNA from 1 species
UACGUAGGGUGCGAGCGUUAAUCGGAAUUACUGGGCGUAAAGCGUGCGCAGGCGGUCUUGUAAGUCAGAUGUGAAAUCCCCGGGCUUAACCUGGGAACUGCGUUUGAAACUACAAGGCUAGAGUGUGGCAGAGGGGGGUGGAAUUCCACGUGUAGCAGUGAAAUGCGUAGAGAUGUGGAGGAACACCGAUGGCGAAGGCAGCCCCCUGGGUCAACACUGACGCUCAUGCACGAAAGCGUGGGGAGCAAACAGG